rnacentral:rRNA from 1 species
AAUGGGGGAAACCCUGAUGCAGCCAUGCCGCGUGUGUGAAGAAGGCCUUCGGGUUGUAAAGCACUUUCAGCGAGGAGGAAAGGUCAGUAGCUAAUAUCUGCUGGCUGUGACGUUACUCGCAGAAGAAGCACCGGCUAACUCCGUGCCAGCAGCCGCGGUAAUACGGAGGGUGCAAGCGUUAAUCGGAAUUACUGGGCGUAAAGCGCACGCAGGCGGUUGGAUAAGUUAGAUGUGAAAGCCCCGGGCUCAACCUGGGAAUUGCAUUUAAAACUGUCCAGCUAGAGUCUUGUAGAGGGGGGUAGAAUUCCAGGUGUAGCGGUGAAAUGCGUAGAGAUCUGGAGGAAUACCGGUGGCGAAGGCGGCCCCCUGGACAAAGACUGACGCUCAGGUGCGAAAGCGUGGGGAGCAAA